UUGGCUUUCCAAGUGAAAAAGGAAUAUGUGACCAGUGGAAAGGGAAAGUCAAUCGACAGGGGAAGAAACGUGGUCUGCUAUGGGUGCCUAGCAAGCAUUCCAAACUCUGUGCUGAUCACUUCAAACCGGCGUGUUUUGAGAAAGACUUAGCAGAAAGCAUUGGAUACACAGGUGUAGUUAGGCAGACGCUGAAACCGAAUGCGGUGCAAACCAUUUUUCUUACGGCCAUCGGGACCUCAACUGCCCGCAAGAGAACUAAAUCUCACAGCCGCCACGGUGCAGCGGCGCAGACAAGAGCUGCUACUUGGCUGCUGGUCGUCGUCACUGUCAGGUUCCGACAUCCUGAUCGGCUCAAAACGGUUUUAGGGCGCUGUGGUUGACAAUUGCAACAUCACUUCUGGUAGCCCUUGCGAUGGAUAGAGUAACCACACCCCAGUGUCUCGAGCUUC